UGUAGCUCAGUGGGUAGAGCAUUUGCCUAGAUGCAAGAAGCCCUGAGUUCAAUCCCCAGCA
rnacentral:tRNA from 1 species